AGGCUGUAGCUCAAUGGUAGAACACUUACUUAGCAUGCAUGAAGCCCUGGGUUCAAUCCUCAGCACUG
rnacentral:tRNA from 1 species